ACGGCUUUUCCGCCGGUCAUGUUGCUCAUGUAUCCCGGUAAAAACACGACGCCCGGAUCUUUCCCGGGCGUUUGACGAAAAGCUAUAGAUGACGUGUGUGUCCUUUGUAAAUGUUCUAGACUCUCCCUGUCGUCUGUCAUCAUGAAUCGCUGCUGGAUUUGCAGACGGGAGUUAGAUUUGGGAGCAGAAAGACAGAACAUGCGAAAAUUUAAACAAGACCGAAAAUAGCACAAGGGCGCUGACAUUUUGUUUUCAGAAAACAGCCACUUAUUAGAAUAUUGAAUGCGGACCAACCAACAUGUCUGAAUAAGGUAACACAAUUAAUUCGAGAUUGGCAACUUCGUACUCAUUCAUUCGACGAAUUACGCUUUCCGUAUCGAAACUUCACACAAUCUGAACGAUAUUUAAAAGAAUUCUCGACAUUUUGAAGAUUUUAAGUGGAAAGAUCUAUUUGUUAACCAUUCUAUCCAAGCGCUCAUUUCAAUGGGACGGCGUAAG